CUUUGGAGAGGAGAGAGAGGAGGAGAGAGAGAGGUAGGGGGGGGUGGAGGGGGAGAGAGAGAGAGGUGGCAAGAGGUGGAGGAGGAGAGAGGAGGAGGGGAAGAGAGGUGGAGGGGAAGAGAGGUGGAGGGUGAUAGAGAGGUGGAGGGGGAGAGAGGUGGAGGGGGAGAGGUGGAGGGGAAGAGAGGUGGAGGGGAGAAGAGGAGGAGAGGAGGAGGGGAAGAGAGGUGGAGGGGGAGAGAGAGGUGGAGGGGGAGACGGAUUAGUUGUUUUAGCAAUGAUAAUGCAUUUGAAACCUUUCUAGUCCCGAGUAUCCUCCUCUACACACACAUCCUCCUCUACACACACAUCCUCUACACACACAUCCUCUACACACACAUCCUCUACACACACACACACACACUCCUCUACACACACAUCCUCUACAUCCUCCUCCCCAGUACACCCUCCUCGCCAGUACACCCUCCUCCCCAGUACACCCUCUACAUCCUCCUCCCCAGUACAUCCUCCUCUCCAGUACACCCUCCUCCCCAGUACACCCUCCUCCCCAGUUCACCCUCUACAUCCUCCUCCCCAGUACAUCCUCCUCCCCAGUACAUCCUCCUCCCCAGUACACCCUCCUCCCCAGUACACCCUCCUCCCCAGUACAUCCUCCUCCCCAGUACGCCCUCCUCCUCCCCAGUACACCCUCCUCCCCAGUACACCCUCCUCCCCAGUACACCCUCCUCCCCAGUACACCCUCCUCCCCAGUACAUCCUCCUCCCCAGAACACCCUCCUCCCCAGUACAUCCUCCUCCCCAGUACACCCUCCUCCCCAGUACAUCCUCCUCCUCCCCAGUACACCCUCCUCCCCAGUACAUCCUCCUCCCCCACAGUACGCCCUCCUCCUCCCCAGUACAUCCUCCUCCCCAGUACAUCCUCCUCCCCAGUACAUCCUCCUCCCCAGUACAUCCUCCUCGCCAGUACACCCUCCUCCCCAGUACAACCUCUUCCCCAGUACACCCUCCUCCCCAGUACACCCUCCUCCCCAGUACACCCUCCUCCCCAGUACACCCUCAUCCCCAGUACACCCUCCUCCCCAGUACAUCCUCCUCCCCCCCAGUACGCCCUCCUCCUCCCCAGUACAUCCUCCUCCCCAGUACAUCCUCCUCCCCAGUACACCCUCCUCCCCAGUACACCCUCCUCCCCAGUACAUCCUCCUCCCCAGUACAUCCUCCUCCCCAGUACAUCCUCCUCCCCAGUACAUCCUCCUCCCCAGUACACCCUCCUCCCCAGUACAUCCUCCUCCCCAGUACAUCCUCCUCCCCAGUACACCCUCCUCCCCAGUACAACCUCCUCCCCAGUACAUCCUCCCCCCAGUACACCCAGUACAUCCUCCUCCCCCCCAGUACGCCCUCCUCCCCAGUACACCCUCCUCCUCCCCAGUACGCCCUCCUCCUCCCCAGUACACCCUCCUCCCCAGUACACCCUCCUCCCCAGUACAUCCUCCCCCCCAGUACACCCUCCUCCCCAGUACAUCCUCCUCCCCAGUACACCCUCCUCCUCCCCAGUACACCCUCCUACCCAGUACACCUUCCUCCCCAGUACACCCUCCUCCUCCCCAGUACACCCUCCUCCUAUGUGGAUUCUGUUAGUCUGUGUGUUGUGUGUUAG
rnacentral:lncRNA from 1 species